UGCUUGGGAACUUGCCUUUGCGAGGGGGAUAACAGUUGGAAACGACUGCUAAUACCGCAUAAUGUCUUCGGACCAAACGGGGCUUCGGCUCCGGCGCAAAGAGAGGCCCAAGUGAGAUUAGCUAGUUGGUGAGGUAAAGGCUCACCAAGGCAACGAUCUCUAGCUGUUCUGAGAGGAAGAUCAGCCACACUGGAACUGAGACACGGUCCAGACUCCUACGGGAGGCAGCAGUGGGGAAUAUUGCACAAUGGGCGCAAGCCUGAUGCAGCCAUACCGCGUGUGUGAAGAAGGCCUUAGGGU
rnacentral:rRNA from 1 species